CAGCAGCCGCGGUAAUACGUAGGUGGCAAGCGUUGUCCGGAAUUAUUGGGCGUAAAGGGCUCGCAGGCGGUUUCUUAAGUCUGAUGUGAAAGCCCCCGGCUCAACCGGGGAGGGUCAUUGGAAACUGGGAAACUUGAGUGCAGAAGAGGAGAGUGGAAUUCCACGUGUAGCGGUGAAAUGCGUAGAGAUGUGGAGGAACACCAGUGGCGAAGGCGACUCUCUGGUCUGUAACUGACGCUGAGGAGCGAAAGCGUGGGGAGCGAACAGGAUUAGAUACCCCUGUAGUCCCUGUCUCUUAUAA
rnacentral:rRNA from 1 species